UGGGUUAGCUCAGUGGUUUAGAGCUUAGGCCUUGUGACCGGAGGGUCCCGAGAUCGAAUCUCGCCGGAGGCAG
rnacentral:tRNA from 1 species